AGAGUUUGAUCAUGGCUCAGAACGAACGCUGGCGGCGUGGAUAAGACAUGCAAGUCGAGCGAGAUUUUUUCCUGUAGCAAUACAGGGAAAAGUCUAGCGGCGAACGGGUGCUUAACACGUGGGCAACCUGCCGAGAAGUGGGGGAUAGCUCGCCGAAAGGCGAAUUAAUACCGCAUGUGAUCAGAGUGGACAUCCAUUCGAAAUCAAAGUCGGGGCAACCUGACGCUUUUUGAGGGGCCCGCGGCCUAUCAGCUAGUUGGUGAGGUAACGGCCCACCAAGGCUUUGACGGGUAGCUGGUCUGAGAGGACGACCAGCCACACUGGGACUGAGACACGGCCCAGACACCUACGGGUGGCAGCAGUCGAGAAUUUUUCUCAAUGGGGGAAACCCUGAAGGAGCGACGCCGCGUGGAGGAUGAAGGUCUUCGGAUUGUAAACUCCUGUCAUUGGGGAACAAUGCGUAAAUAUUAACUGUAUUUGCGUUGAUAGUACCCGAAGAGGAAGAGACGGCUAACUCUGUGCCAGCAGCCGCGGUAAUACAGAGGUCUCAAGCGUUGUUCGGAUUCAUUGGGCGUAAAGGGUGCGUAGGCGGCGCGGUAAGUCGGGUGUGAAAUCUCGGAGCUUAACUCCGAAACUGCAUUCGAUACUGCCGUGCUUGAGGACUGGAGAGGAGACUGGAAUUUACGGUGUAGCGGUGAAAUGCGUAGAUAUCGUAAGGAAGACCAGUGGCGAAGGCGGGUCUCUGGACAGUUCCUGACGCUGAGACACGAAGGCCAGGGGAGCAAACGGGAUUAGAUACCCCGGUAGUCCUGGCAGUAAACGGUGCACGUUUGGUGUGGGAGGAUUCGACCCCUUCUGCGCCGGAGCUAACGCGUUAAACGUGCCGCCUGGGGAGUACGUCGCAGAUUAAACUCAAAGAAAUUGACGGGGCCCGCACAAGCGGUGGAGUAUGUGGCUCAUUCGAUGCACGCG
rnacentral:rRNA from 1 species